CGUCCCACGGGACGACGCCGGCCGACGAGGUUUCGUCCGCCGGCGUGUUUUGC
rnacentral:sRNA from 1 species